AAAAAUGUCUAAAUCCAAUUACAUUCAUCACAUACACAGUUUACAGCAGGUAUAAAAGGUGCAGCAAAAUGCUUACAGUGCCUCCGGAAAGAAUUCAGACCCCUUGACUUUUUCCACAUUUUGCUACGUUAUAGCCUUAUUCUAAAAAGUAUUAAAUAAAACACCUUCCUCAGCAAUCUACACACAUUACCACAUAACGACAAAGCAAAACAGGUUUUUAGAUAUUUUUUCUAAUUGAUUCAGAACAAAAACAUAAAUACCUUAUUUACAUACAUAUUCAGACUCGAAAUUGAGCUCAAGUGCGUUCUGUUUCCAUUGAUCACCCUUGAGAUGUUUCUACAACUUGAUUUGAGUCCACCUGUGGUAAUUUCAAUUGAUUGGACAUGAUUUGGAAAGGCAACCCACCUGUCUAUAUAAGGUCUCACAGUUGACAGUGAAUGUCAAAGCAAAAACCAAGCCAUGAAGUCAAAGGAAUUGUCCGUAGAUGUCACGGCUGGCUGAAUGACUGGACCAAGGUGCAGCAUGGCCCUGGCUCCACUCCCCUCUCAGACAGUUCAUCUAGGGGUGCGGGGGCAGAGAGGACACCUAGCCUCAACAGAGAAGAGAGAUGACAAGAUGUAGGGGCACUGAAACAGAGGGAGAUUAACCUGAGGACAGAUGGCAUGAAGCUAUUGAAGAUUAUGUGGAGCCCGUACCACCCAGGUUCACUUGGAUGUCCCCUGGAUGUCCCCUAGUUGUCCCCUGACACCACCACAAUGUUUGAGAGGUUGAUAUUGUAGAAAUUGUGUUUUAAAGUGACCAAUAACUCAUAGGCACAUUCAAUGUGUAGUAGCAAUGGAAAUACCUAAUUUACAUACUUAGGACACUUUGGAGAGGGUGAGGGGACACUCGGAGAUGUCCAUUGACCGCACCUGACACCCCUUACUAAAAUUUUUGUAAAGGUUUAGCUGUGUCUAUCUAUCCCACUUUUUUUUUUUGUACUUUCCUGUUCAUGCUGAAUUUAUUUAUUUAAUGCAUGUUUAAUGCAUGUUUU
rnacentral:lncRNA from 13 species